rnacentral:tRNA from 1 species
GCGCGAGUGGCGGAAUUGGCAGACGCGCUGGAUUUAGGUUCCAGUGCCCUAGGGCGUGGGGGUUCGAGUCCCCUCUCGCGCA